rnacentral:rRNA from 1 species
CCCAUCGUAAGAGUAAGACCCCUUGAAGACGACGAGGUUGAUAGGGCAGGGGUGGAAGUGCUGUAAGGCAUGGAGCUGACUGCUACUAAUCGGUCGAGGGCUUGACCAA